GGCCGCUGACGCCACUCGUCGUGGUCCACGCUCCCGCGGCCCUGUGCCGCGCCGCUGCGCGCUCCAGCACCGCCCGGACGCGCUGGCCAUCGCGCCGGCACGCGGAAGCACGAGUAGAGGGGGAGGGGCAGCGGCUGGCCGUACUCCUGGAGUACUCACACGCCAUGGCGGACGGCUACGCCGGGUGCAAGGAUAGGCCGCAGAGCAGGAUUUGGAGUCUGGAUCACAUUGAAUCCAAGCCUCCCUUGACCUUGUUCGCAAUUCAAUUCAAGUACCACUGGCUGCUCAUAGGUGACAAUCUCUCCAUUCGCCCUAAAUCUCUGUUGCUUCUUCACUGGAAAACCAUGCAGAGCGUCGACAUGCACAUGGUCAACAUGCUCCAUGGCGUCAACUCCCCCGCUGAGCAAUGGCAAAACGAUGACUACGGCCACCAUCUUUAGUACCAUUCGUUCACAUUCUGUUCUUUUGUGUAUAUUUAUUUGUAUACGGUGGUGAAUACUUGUAUGGCCAUGAGACAUUUUUAUGAAAUGGUUGUAGCGGCAUAUGUUGUAUAAACAAAGGAAUUCCAGAAUGAUUCUCUAAUAUAUGUAUUUGGAUAACCUUUUAUGACAA